rnacentral:rRNA from 1 species
CCAGCAUUCAGUUGGGCACUCUAAGGUGACUGCCGGCUAAAAGUCGGAGGAAGGUGGGGAGUGACGUCAAAUCAUCAUGCCCCUUAUGACCUGGGCUACACACGUGCUACAAUGGGCGGUACAAAGGGUCGCGAACCCGCGAGGGGGAGCCAAUCCCAAAAAGCCGCUCUCAGUUCGGAUUGCAGGCUGCAACUCGCCUGCAUGAAGCCGGAAUCGCUAGUAAUCGCGGAUCAGCAUGCCGCGGUGAAUACGUUCCCGGGCCUU